ACAAUACAACACUCAACGUAGAACUUCUUUUUGGUGCAAUAUCAUUCGUACGUACCAAAAUAUACACAUUGCAAUUUGCAUUCACCAUCACCUUCUUUUUGUAAAACUUGUCUAUUACGCACCUCUAUAAAUAUCAUGCUAUCAAUUACGUUUUGCUCCAAUUCUCACCAGGAUCGCAUCUCGAUUGUCAAUUGUAGAUCAAACGGUUGAAAUUAAUAAAGUUAAAAGAUUGAUAUAAACGAUCUCGGUCGCUGACUUGAGAUCGAAAGGCGUAUAACUCUUAAAGCGUCUGGUGUUACAUCAAAGAAAAUCAAAAUCCAAGUAAGUUAGCCUACUAUAGGAUCGAAAACACUUUAAACUGUGAAAUUAGGGUUAGGUUAACCUACUACACACCUUCUUUUUGUGUUAUCAAGGCCGAUAAUUCGACAAAAGGUAAAUAAAGUGGUGUCAAAAAAUUGUUGCAGGUGAAACUAAGAUUUUGUUACAACACAUAUUUGGUAUGAAGUCGUGGUUGUUGUUUUCAAUGAAAGAAAAACAACAUAAGAAGAGGAAGAAGAAGCUUAUCAAUGAUCCUCGGUUUGUAGGAGUGCUCACAGACCCUCUUUUUCGACAAGAGAGGUGCCCGUAGAAAACAACCUCACUUUUAAAUCUGAUUUUCUUCGCCAUUACUACAAAGUAGAAGAAGAACAAGAGGGAUUGAUGGAGGAGCAUGUUAAAGGAGUAGAGAAUGAAUCAAAUUCUACUACAGAUGAAGAUACUGAUGCAGGAACACGAAGAGGUAUCAGUGAUUGAGAAAGAUACUCAUAGGCUGGCUGUUGUCUACAUGGACUGGAACUAUGUGAAGGUUCUAUCAUGCUGUGGUGGAAUGUGACUCAAGUACCACAGCAGCUCACAUUUACAAAGAAUGUAAUGGUCUUGAGUUUUUAUCUAGUCCAUUUGAUUUAAGGUUUAUUCCUGACAUUUGGGAAUUCAAGCAGGAGCCUAUGGAUGUUGUGACAAAGGUACCUACGAACUACGUAGUCAAAGAUUUCGGUCCUCGAGCACUUCAGCACAGUAAAGUUGAUUUUGAUUGGGAGGAUGAUGAUCCCUUUCGCAAAAGGACCUUGAGUCGAAAAUUUACUGAUGAGCAGCUUGCUCAGUUGGAAUAGAAAGAAUACUUGGCUUCUGAUGCGAGUGAAAGUGAUGAUAACAGUGAGACUGAUGAUCAGCUUGAUGAGAAGGCUAGAAAACAAGAUAUGUAUCUUAGUUUGGUCUAUUCAGGCAAUGGUUCAAAUGAAGAUGCUGAACAUGACGCUAGCCAAGAGAUGGAGGUGACCUUCCAUUCAGGAUUGGAAUGUCUAAAUAAAAAAUUAACGGAAAAGAAGGACAAAAGAUCGGAAACAGUUUGGGAAGAAUUUCGGAGGAAAAGGCGUGAGAAAAAGAAGGCCAAGAAAAAUAAAUUGAAGUAUUCAUCAGAUGAUGAUAGUGAUCAACAAGCUAAUGAAGAAGCAGAUGAGUUCCUCAUUGAGGAACCUUGUGUUAAGAAGAGGAAGAAAGCACAAAUGAGUAAAAAUGACAAAGAUCAUAAUAACCUCCAACACAUGGAUAUGGUUGCUGUUGACAAAGCUUGAACUAUUGCUUCCUGAUGACAAGGGGAUAGAAACUGGUCUCAAGGGAUAUAAUCUAAAAUUUAAAAAAAGGAAGGACAAAAUGGGGAAGGAGAAUGUUAUUAUUGAUGAGGGUAAAGUACCAAACAGUACAUAUAGUGAUGAUCAACGUUUUGUUGCACUUCUUUUCUCUCCUGACUAUGCUAUUGAUCCCACCGAUCCACAAUAUAAAAGGAGUGCUGCAUAUGCCAGGCAGCAGCUAGCACACAAGCAGAAGGGUCAAAUGGAACUAUCAGUUCCCAAAGUAAUGCAAAUGUCUUUUGAAGACUCUGGCUAUGGCAUGAUGCAGAAGGAUAAGAAAGAAGGAUUGGUUGUUGUUAACUCAAAAAAAGAAGAUAAAGAUAAGCUCUUAUUUCUUGUUAAAUCAGUCAAGAUGAAAUCAAAGCACAUCCUUGAUGGUAAGACAAAGAAAGAUGGAAAACACAAUUUGAAGGUGUAGAGAAAAAAAAGGAAGCACUAGUUCUCCCCAAUCUUAUGCCCCAACUCCAAUCAACACGAUAGAUAGAUAAAUGAAUGACUUUAUUGCAAUUUUAGUUCCCAUAUUUCAACAUUUUGCAGAGGUCGCCCUAUUUAAAAUUAUGACAAUCUUGGUCCAUGUAUAAUUUUUUUAACUAAAAAAUUGGUGAUGUGAUAUGUUUUAAAUGAUGUGAUAUAUGA